rnacentral:rRNA from 1 species
AUUGAACGCUGGCGGCAGGCCUAACACAUGCAAGUCGAGCGGAGCGGCGGACGCGGGAGUAUUGCUUAGGAAUCUGACUGUUAGUGGGGGAGAGGGACCGGAAACGGGCGCUAAUACCACAUACUCUCAGAUGAGCCUAGGUCGGAUUAGCUAGUUGGUGGGGUAAAGGCCUACCAAGGCGACGAUCCGUAUCUGGUCUGAGAGGAUGAUCAGUCACACUGGAACUGAGACACGGUCCAGACUCCUACGGGAGGCAGCAGUGGGGAAUAUAUGACAAUGGGCGAAAGCCUGAUCCAGCCAUGCCGCGUGUGUGAAGAAGGCCUUCGGAUUGUAAAGCACUUUAAGUAGGGAGGCGUUACCAACAGAAUAAGCACCGGCUAACUACGUGCCAGCAGCCGCGGUAAUUC